GAUGAACGCUGGCGGCGUGCCUAAUACAUGCAAUUCGAGCGAACAGAUAAGGAGCUUGCUCCUUUGACGUUAGCGGCGGACGGGUGAGUAACACGUGGGUAACCUACCUAUAAGACUGGGAUAACUUCGGGAAACCGGAGCUAAUACCGGAUAACAUUUGGAACCGCAUGGUUCUAAAGUGAAAGAUGGUUUUGCUAUCACUUAUAGAUGGACCCGCGCCGUAUUAGCUAGUUGGUAAGGUAACGGCUUACCAAGGCAACGAUACGUAGCCGACCUGAGAGGGUGAUCGGCCACACUGGAACUGAGACACGGUCCAGACUCCUACGGGAGGCAGCAGUAGGGAAUCUUCCGCAAUGGGCGAAAGCCUGACGGAGCAACGCCGCGUGAGUGAUGAAGGGUUUCGGCUCGUAAAACUCUGUUAUUAGGGAAGAACAAACGUGUAAGUAACUGUGCACGUCUUGACGGUACCUAAUCAGAAAGCCACGGCUAACUACGUG
rnacentral:rRNA from 1 species